rnacentral:rRNA from 1 species
AGAGUUUGAUCCUGGCUCAGAUUGAACGCUGGCGGAAUGCUUUACACAUGCAAGUCGAACGGCAGCACGGGGGCAACCCUGGUGGCGAGUGGCGAACGGGUGAGUAAUACAUCGGAACGUGCCCAGUCGUGGGGGAUAACGUAGCGAAAGCUACGCUAAUACCGCAUACGAUCUACGGAUGAAAGCGGGGGAUCGCAAGACCUCGCGCGAUUGGAGCGGCCGAUGGCAGAUUAGGUAGUUGGUGGGGUAAAGGCUCACCAAGCCUGCGAUCUGUAGCUGGUCUGAGAGGACGACCAGCCACACUGGGACUGAGACACGGCCCAGACUCCUACGGGAGGCAGCAGUGGGGAAUUUUGGACAAUGGGCGCAAGCCUGAUCCAGCCAUUCCGCGUGCAGGAUGAAGGCCUUCGGGUUGUAAACUGCUUUUGUACGGAACGAAAAGGCUCCCUCUAAUACAGGGGGCUCAUGACGUACCGU